CGGGGCCCUUCCAUUCCCUUUCAACAGGAGUCUGCCCGGAAAUAGGCCAGCACACAAAGAGCGCACCUGUGACACUUGGAGUCUUAGAAUCCACCCCCUCCCAGCAGGGGGGGAGGGAAACUGAAACCAUCUGAGCAGGAGCUGCGCUCCACCUUGACCUCCUCCUUCCUCUCUGCUCAGACGGCGGGCCCUGGGACAGGCCAGGGGACCACCGGGCAGAUUCUUCUGCCUCUGCCCGCAGUCUCACAAACCGGUGCCUUGAAAACACAAGCGAGGCCACUUGUUGCGCAGGUGCGGAGGUUUCCAGGCACCGGGGCUCGGAGGAGGCAGCACUUCUCAGACAGCCUGGAGCUAGCUGAGGACCCAGGCCUCACACACCCAACCUGGAAACUUCAUCAAAAAACUGCCCCGAGGCAGGGGAGGAGUGAAGGGUGGUUUCGAAAAGCAGAGGAGGAAAGGUAGAAACUGGUUAAAAGUAGAUGAAAACCGAAAGGCCCGCUCCCUUUCUGCCCUCAGGGAGACAGGGCAGUCCCACAGAUGGGGGAAGGGGACCCCUUCCUUGACCAGAGUGCGGGUCAUGGGGAGGAGGGGGGUGCCAACAUCCUUCUCAGGAAACAGGCUGCAAUACCAUGGGCUUAAAUAUUGAUUGUCGAGAGAGAGAGAGAGAGAGAGAGAGAGAGAGAGAGAGAGAGAGAGAAACCUGCAACCCACCAAUCUCAUUUCCAGAUUCCCUCUCUCCAGCCUAGAGACAUGAAUAAUUAACUUGCCUACCCGAGAGCUCGCCGGAGUGGCUAUAAAAGAUGAGUAAUGGCACGGAAGCCCCGGCCCCACGCCCGCCGGCUUCUGGGCUUCUGGGCUCGGGUCUGGGGCUAGGACCGGCGCCGGGAACAAAGCCUCCGCAUUCCUCCGGGAAGGUGUGCCUGAAACCAAACCUGUCACCGGCGAGAAGCUGGCCCCUUACCUCCCCCAUAGCCGGCUCCCCGGCUGCAAGGAGGGGAAGAGGAGGGGCCGACGCCCGGGCGCGCGGGGUGGACCCGAUGGCCAGGUCGCCUCUGCCCACACCCCCACCCCUGACCGAGCGGUGCCCCCAACCACAGCCGCUUUCGGGAAGCCGCGCAGUCUGCCGGGCGAUAAUCCUGUUACCAUGAACGCCGGCUGUACUUGGAGAGCCAAUUCUCAAAGCAACAAGGCAGCUCCCUCGGCGCCCUUCCCGGAUAAAUUGGCCAGACAAUGAACAGAAACCCUGGGUCAUCAUUAAAAAAAAGACAUGCUGUGGAAGAUUCCUUUAAAUGAUAAUGUCCAGUGUUGCUGGGAAACAGACAAUUUGAAGGAAGCAUACACAGUUCCUGGGGACAAUUUAGCAAUAUGAAUUAAAAGCCUUAAAAA